ensembl:lncRNA
GUUGCAUGUGAAUAUGCAGAAUCUGUAUGAAAGGAGCUUUCUGGGUUUUGUUUGUGGUAUAUUUGGUACUAUUGACACAAUUAUUUUGUGCAAGCAUUGGUUACACGCAAUCAGUCCAUGACAGGAUGUGUACUAGUAAAACUAAGUUGAAGUUUUAGGUGCCUACUAGCAUUUUCAAAUGUGUUUGCGUCUCUAAAUGGGUGAAAAAUGAACCUAAGUGCCUGAAGCCUGCGUUCUAUUUAAUGGCCAGUAGGAGGCAACAGCACAGACACACACAAAAAAGUUUGAUUGUGUGGAAAUCUAUGAGAAAAUGAUCUUUUGAUUUCCUUGAUCUGUGACCUCAGUAAACACUUCCCUGAGGAGUUUAUGUUACCAGUUGAAAGUGUCAAGUCUUAUUCGUGAUAAAAUGAUGUUUGUUUGUUUGUUUUUCUUAAAUUAAGGCCCAAAAGCAUGCAGGAAAAAGUGGGAAAACUUUGAGGGGCCUGCUUUUUAAUUAACAAGUUGCAUAUAUUUGACCAGCUGCUGGGGACACCUUCAUGUUUACUGCACAAACACGAGAAUGUGAUGGCACGGAAACCUGUCAUAGCCAUUGCUUCUACGUAACUGUUGUUGUGAAGAAGCUCAGACAGCAUGAUGAACGUCAGCCCACCAAAGAAAUCUUCUGCUGUUCAUUGCUGCUUCAGAUUGUCAGCCCUGAAGGACUGCUAACACUGUCUACCCUCUGGAUUUGUAAGGAGUAAUUAGCAUUGAUAAAUAUUCAUCGCAGAUGUGAAAUGAUUUGUUUCAUAAUCUUCUUUGAGCUGUUUGAUUUUCUUUGAUUAAAUGGUUAGCUUGAGUGAUCGUUUUCAGCAGAAUUUGAGCAGCUAGGUGAAGAAAUCCCCAAGAAGCAGCUCUCUUUCCCUCCUCCUUCUCUCCACGCCAUGAAAACUUCACCCUUUAUUUCCAGGCAAACCUCCAUGCAGGUUUGAGCUGUUCUCUUAGAUAUACAGCCAGGCGCGGUAAAGAAUAAUAACAUGUCAAAGACGCUCACACCACCACAGACCACAGAAAAUGGAACACGCCUCAGGGUGGAUAAACGCUUCAAGAUUUCUCGUACUUCUCUUGAAUUUAAUAAGUGCCCCAAACCCCCUGCCUACUGCUCAGGAUCAGAGGACAAAAAGAGGAGAGAAAGAAAACAGUACUGAGACACUAUUUUCAUGUUGACCUUGCUAGAAGAUAGCAGUACGGUUUUGUUAUUUCAGCUACUAUGAAAUAUAUCCCAUGGCUGCUUGAGACCACCGAUGUAAAAACUUAAAUUGCAUUUGUAGGUUUUUUGUUUGUUUUUUUGUUCCUGAUGAAUCUCCUGGGACAUGGACAGUAAAAAGAAAGAUUUGCUCAGAUGGAAAAUCACACAGUUGUUCGUGCUGAUGUUGAUUAGAAAAUCAAUUCCCAGGAAUUCCCAGCCCAGCAGAACUAAUAUGGCUUUAAUCUAUUGCUUGGUGUACUACAGGGAUUACAGUGGUGCUGCAGGACCAGGAUUUAGUCUUGAAGUUAUGUGCAUGUCAAUUUGCAAAUGCAUCACAGGAAUGUAUUUACUGG